GGUUAAGCGACUAAGCGUACACGGUGGAUGCCCUGGCAGUCAGAGGCGAUGAAGGACGUGCUAAUCUGCGAAAAGCGUCGGUAAGGUGAUAUGAACCGUUAUAACCGGCGAUGUCCGAAUGGGGAAACCCAGUGUGAUUCGUCACACUAUCGUUAACUGAAUACAUAGGUUAACGAGGCGAACCGGGGGAACUGAAACAUCUAAGUACCCCGAGGAAAAGAAAUCAACCGAGAUUCCCCCAGUAGCGGCGAGCGAACGGGGAGCAGCCCAGAGUCUGAAUCAGCUUGUGUGUUAGUGGAACGGUCUGGAAAGUCCGACGGUACAGGGUGAUAGUCCCGUACACCAAAAUGCACAGGUUGUGAACUCGAAGAGUAGGGCGGGACACGUGGUAUCCUGUCUGAAUAUGGGGGGACCAUCCUCCAAGGCUAAAUACUCCUGACUGACCGAUAGUGAACCAGUACCGUGAGGGAAAGGCGAAAAGAACCCCGGCGAGGGGAGUGAAAAAGAACCUGAAACCGUGUACGUACAAGCAGUGGGAGCACCUUCGGGUGUGACUGCGUACCUUUUGUAUAAUGGGUCAGCGACUUAUAUUCUGUAGCAAGGUUAACCGUAUAGGGGAGCCGCAGGGAAACCGAGUCUUAACUGGGCGUUAAGUUGCAGGGUAUAGACCCGAAACCCGGUGAUCUAGCCAUGGGCAGGUUGAAGGUUGGGUAACACUAACUGGAGGACCGAACCGACUAAUGUUGAAAAAUUAGCGGAUGACUUGUGGCUGGGGGUGAAAGGCCAAUCAAACCGGGAGAUAGCUGGUUCUCCCCGAAAGCUAUUUAGGUAGCGCCUCGUGAACUCAUCUUCGGGGGUAGAGCACUGUUUCGGCUAGGGGGUCAUCCCGACUUACCAACCCGAUGCAAACUACGAAUACCGAAGAAUGUUAUCACGGGAGACACACGGCGGGUGCUAACGUCCGUCGUGAAGAGGGAAACAACCCAGACCGCCAGCUAAGGUCCCAAAGUCAUGGUUAAGUGGGAAACGAUGUGGGAAGGCACAGACAGCCAGGAUGUUGGCUUAGAAGCAGCCAUCAUUUAAAGAAAGCGUAAUAGCUCACUGGUCGAGUCGGCCUGCGCGGAAGAUGUAACGGGGCUAAACCAUGCACCGAAGCUGCGGCAGCGACACUAUGUGUUGUUGGGUAGGGGAGCGUUCUGUAAGCCUGCGAAGGUGACCUGUGAGGGUUGCUGGAGGUAUCAGAAGUGCGAAUGCUGACAUAAGUAACGAUAAAGCGGGUGAAAAGCCCGCUCGCCGGAAGACCAAGGGUUCCUGUCCAACGUUAAUCGGGGCAGGGUGAGUCGACCCCUAAGGCGAGGCCGAAAGGCGUAGUCGAUGGGAAACAGGUUAAUAUUCCUGUACUUGGUGUUACUGCGAAGGGGGGACGGAGAAGGCUAUGUUAGCCGGGCGACGGUUGUCCCGGUUUAAGCAUGUAGGCUGGUUGUCCAGGCAAAUCCGGAUAAUCAAGGCUGAGGUGUGAUGACGAGGCACUACGGUGCUGAAGUAACAAAUGCCCUGCUUCCAGGAAAAGCCUCUAAGCAUCAGGUAACAUCAAAUCGUACCCCAAACCGACACAGGUGGUCAGGUAGAGAAUACCAAGGCGCUUGAGAGAACUCGGGUGAAGGAACUAGGCAAAAUGGUGCCGUAACUUCGGGAGAAGGCACGCUGGUGUGUAGGUGAAGCCCCUGCGGGUGGAGCUGAGACCAGUCGAAGAUACCAGCUGGCUGCAACUGUUUAUUAAAAACACAGCACUGUGCAAACACGAAAGUGGACGUAUACGGUGUGACGCCUGCCCGGUGCCGGAAGGUUAAUUGAUGGGGUUAUCCGUAAGGAGAAGCUCUUGAUCGAAGCCCCGGUAAACGGCGGCCGUAACUAUAACGGUCCUAAGGUAGCGAAAUUCCUUGUCGGGUAAGUUCCGACCUGCACGAAUGGCGUAAUGAUGGCCAGGCUGUCUCCACCCGAGACUCAGUGAAAUUGAACUCGCUGUGAAGAUGCAGUGUACCCGCGGCAAGACGGAAAGACCCCGUGAACCUUUACUAUAGCUUGACACUGAACAUUGAGCCUUGAUGUGUAGGAUAGGUGGGAGGCUUUGAAGCGUGGACGCCAGUCUGCGUGGAGCCAACCUUGAAAUACCACCCUUUAAUGUUUGAUGUUCUAACGUUGGCCCCUGACCGGGGUUGCGGACAGUGUCUGGUGGGUAGUUUGACUGGGGCGGUCUCCUCCCAAAGCGUAACGGAGGAGCACGAAGGUUAGCUAAUCCUGGUCGGACAUCAGGAGGUUAGUGCAAUGGCAUAAGCUAGCUUGACUGCGAGCGUGACGGCGCGAGCAGGUGCGAAAGCAGGUCAUAGUGAUCCGGUGGUUCUGAAUGGAAGGGCCAUCGCUCAACGGAUAAAAGGUACUCCGGGGAUAACAGGCUGAUACCGCCCAAGAGUUCAUAUCGACGGCGGUGUUUGGCACCUCGAUGUCGGCUCAUCACAUCCUGGGGCUGAAGUAGGUCCCAAGGGUAUGGCUGUUCGCCAUUUAAAGUGGUACGCGAGCUGGGUUUAGAACGUCGUGAGACAGUUCGGUCCCUAUCUGCCGUGGGCGCUGGAGAAUUGAGGGGGGCUGCUCCUAGUACGAGAGGACCGGAGUGGACGCAUCACUGGUGUUCGGGUUGUCAUGCCAAUGGCACUGCCCGGUAGCUAAAUGCGGAAGAGAUAAGUGCUGAAAGCAUCUAAGCACGAAACUUGCCCCGAGAUGAGUUCUCCCUGAGACUUUAAGUCUCCUGAAGGAACGUUGAAGACGACGACGUUGAUAGGCCGGGUGUGUAAGCGCAGCGAUGCGUUGAGCUAACCGGUACUAAUGAACCGUGAGGCUUAACCUU
rnacentral:rRNA from 1 species